rnacentral:rRNA from 1 species
UGGAGGGCAAGUCUGGUGCCAGCAGCCGCGGUAAUUCCAGCUCCAAUAGCGUAUAUUAAAGUUGUUGCAGUUAAUAAGCUCGUAGUUGAAUUUCGGGAUCAAUUUAUUGGUCGUGCUAUUGUACGUACUGGUAUUAUUGAUUCCUACCUUCUGACGAACCACGAUGUCAUUAAUUUGGUGUCAUGGGGAAUCAGGACUGUUACUUUGAAAAAAUUAGAGUGUUUAAAGCAGGCUCACGCUUGAAUACAUUAGCAUGGAAUAACGAAAUAGGACGUUUGAUUCUAUUUUGUUGGUUUCUAGGAUCGACGUAAUGAUUAAUAGGGAUAGUUGGGGGCAUUAGUAUUCAAUUGUCAGAGGUGAAAUUCUUGGAUUUAUUGAAGACUAACUACUGCGAAAGCAUUUGCCAAGGAUGUUUUCAUUAAUCAAGAACGAAAGUUAGGGGAUCGAAGACGAUCAGAUACCGUCGUAGUCUUAACCAUAAACUAUGCCGACUAGGGAUCGGAUGAUGUUAAUUUUUUAAUGACUCAUUCGGCGCCUUACGGGAAAC